rnacentral:rRNA from 1 species
UACAGAGGGUGCGAGCGUUAAUCGGAAUUACUGGGCGUAAAGCGUGCGUAGACGGUUAUUUAAGUCGGGUGUGAAAGCCCCGGGCUCAACCUGGGAAUUGCAUUCGAGACUGAAUAGCUAGGGUACGGUAGAGGGAAGUGGAAUUUCCGGUGUAGCGGUGAAAUGCGUAGAGAUCAGGAAGAACAUCGGUGGCGAAGGCGCUCUGCUGGACCAUAACUGACACUCAGGGACGAAAGCUAGGGGAGCGAAUGGG